rnacentral:rRNA from 1 species
CAGCAGCCGCGGUAAUACCGGCGGCCCGAGUGGCGGCCACUAUUAUUGGGCCUAAAGCGUCCGUAGCCGGGCUGGUAAGUCCCCCGGGAAAUCUGGCGGCUUAACCGUCAGAAUUCCGGGGGAUACUGCCAGCCUAGGGACCGGGAGAGGCCGGGGGUAUUCCCGGGGGAGGGGUGAAAUCCUGUAAUCCCGGGAGGACCACCUGUGGCGAAGGCGCCCGGCUGGAACGGGUCCGACGGUGAGGGACGAAGGCCAGGGGAGCGAACCGGAUUAGAUACCCGGGUAGUCCACGCCGUAAACGGUGGGCACUAGGUGUGGGGGGUUAAUCCCUCCGUGCCGAAGCUAACGCAUUAAGUGCCCCGCCUGGGGAGUACGGCCGCAAGGUUGAAACUUAAAGGAAUUGGCGGG